rnacentral:lncRNA from 1 species
CUCAGGAGAUCCUUCCUCUUGGAGCCCUUCUGCAAGCCCAGGACACAGGGUCCAUCCGACAAAUGAAGAAAACCUGUCUUUAAAACUCAUCUUCUGAUCUACUAAACUCAUCUACUGAUCUUUAGUAAAGCAAACGGCUUCAGCCUGAGAAUGCCGAUGUGAAGCAUUCUGAUAUUUAAGGAAGAAAAGAAGGAUGCCUAUUGUUUUGCCUUGUCGUUGACUGACUCCAGCCCAGAACUGGGAGUUAUUUUGGUUGCCAUCCUUUUCCCAGGAGAUUUCAUUUUUU